CAUGGGUCCCGUGCUCCCCAAAGUUUUCCCCACCUCCUCUGACACUUGGUCCCUAGCGACUUUUCCCUCCACACUCAGUUCCAACACGAGCCUUUAAAGAAGUGUAACGAGUUUGGUGCAGCAGUGUGGAAGCUGAGAAUGGGACAGUCUAUGAUGGUCAAGUAACUUCCUUGUAGGGUACGAUAUCUGCAUCUUCCGGGGGAGGGGGAAUAAUCACCAGUCAUCCCCUGGAGCUGUCUUGUCUAUCACUGAGAGAGUAUCGAAGCACUUACAUGCAUGUCAUCCGGCCCUCCCAUAGUAACCCUGUGAGCUAGCUACACACACCACUCUUCUCUUAAUGAAGACAUCAGUGACUGGCUCACUCUGCUCUUGGUACCCUAAUAGAAGCACAGCUGUUCUGACUUUCAGUCAGAAUUCUCUGCCUUCUCCUAUGCCAUCUACACAGUGAAGACGCCUGGGAGAUAAAGUUCUUACUCGGGGAGAGGAACUAUUAGAAUAGAAUCUAGGUGCAAUCUGUCUUCUGACUCCUUACAGGACAGACAGGCUGGCAGCUUCCUGAAGCAAGGACUAGUACAUCUUGGUCAUGUGAGCUCUAGAAGCAAGCUGGAGCUGUAGAAAGGAUGAGGUGGGCUCAGUUCUCCCUUCCCCAAUUAGAGAAAAAGCUUCACCUCGUGACAGAUCCAUAGGCCAGUUAGUGCCAGGGCCAGAGCCAGCCCACUGUACUUUACACACAGGGCAGUGAGAUCCAUGAGUGCCACUCUUAAAGAACAUCAAAGAAUAAGCCAAGACGUUGUGAGAUGGCUGGCCAGCGUUCAAUGCCACAUCGAUAACGAUAAUGGAAAAAAAAAUCCAUAUUACACUGAUGGGACCAGAGUCUCGGGGGAGUUAGCUACAGGGACGGCCGCUGCUGGUGCAGCUCAUUCAGCAAACAGGGCUGCCUAGCGAGGCACGCUUCCUUUACUCUUGGAAGAAGACGCAAGGCUACGGACCGAGAGCUGUUCCCGGAACUGAGCGCACGAAACGCUCAAGUUGUCUACUUUGGCUCUGGCUGGAAUGUUUUUUUUUUCCUAUGUUGUUCCAUCUCUCUGUGUCUCUUCCCUGGAGAGAAGCCAAGACAGAAGCAGCUGAGUUUUGCUGCCUAUGAGAGACAACUUGAUUUACACAAACGCCCCAGGGUGCCUAACAUAUAAGACAAAAAUCACACUCUCCUCUUCCCCGUGUGCCCUCGGCUCCACUUCUCUCCUCCGCUCAGCUCACACCAAAGCUUCUGUAAUGCCAAGAGGCUCCCUACAAGAGCUUUCUGGCCAAGACCCUCGUAAACAGAUCUCAGGGGAUCUCAGAACAUGCUGCACCCAAGGAAAUGGUGGCUUAGUAAGCAAGUCCAUAUCGAGACACCUUGCUCCUGGAGAGGGUCUCUGCUGUGUUUCAGAAAACUCUGGAACAGAGAGAAGACUUGUGGAAAUGGGACCAGUGCCAAGAAAAAGAAAGAUAAAUGGAGAAGAUGCUCGGGGGUUGGCUUUAUUUAGUCUGGGGGAAAAAAAUCUCGGGAGAGGAAGGAAGGAAGGAAAACAGCACCAAACAACAAUUUUCCAAAUAAAACCCACAUAAUUAUAAGGAAGCUUAUAAUAGGCAUCCAACAAACACUUGUUGACCUGCUGUAUCUCCCCUCUAAUUCAUGGUGCCCGCCCCCUUACACAGCAUAGCUAGCACGCAAACACAGCAUGUACCGCGCCCAGCACACUCUAACAAGGUCCAAUACAUUUCCUUCCUCAGCUAUCUCACAGAUGUAUCAGAAGCUCCACCAGUUCCACAGUGGAACCGAACAUCAUGUGUCAUGAAAACACAGAUCUGAUGGUCUUCCAAAACCGUAAGACGCACAAGGUUUCAACUAGACUCCUGCUUAAGCUUUCAACCCAGCCGACAUGUGCUCCCAGAUUAGCUGCUUCACAAAAGGACUCUCGUGUGGCUCUGAGGCUUGCGUUCUGGUUGUUGUUAGACAAUUUUAGAACCCAAGGUACCUGUGCUGGAGACACCGGCGAUGUUGCUGGGCUCGCUGAUCAGAUCCUGCAUGACAGCCAAAACCCGGAACUCAUACCAGAACAGCAAGAGGUCCCUCCAACAGCCCUCAUGAUCCUCGUCAAGAGAAGUCAGGGCUAGUGAUCCAGAGAUCUGUGACUCUCUGCAGAACAAGACAACUGCACAAUGACCAAGCACCUCCUCAAACGGGAAGAGGUAGGUACUAUGAGGAGAGAGAAGAACCUAGUGAAAGAUACAGGUCAUGUGCCACAUAACACCUCUGUCGGCAACAUUCCCAUGCCCUACGAAGUUACAGAGCUGAAAACGUCCUAUUGGCUAGUAGGAGAGGAUUCACUAUAAUACAGAACAGCACGUUCCUCGAACAUCCAAGGUAACACUGGUAUGAACAAACGUGCGGCUCUGCCAGUCACGUAAAGUGCGGACUACAUAGCAAUGGUGACAUCCAACCACGCUACAGGUUAUGUAUCUAUCCCAUUGUAUAUUUUUAUGGCUAGAGUAUACUCCAGCAACAGAAAAGGUUUCUGAUGAAAACAGCCCCCACCCUGCUCCCGCAGCAUCAGCUCCAUUGAUCUAAAGGUUGCAUCAUUUUCUCAUAAUGCCACGCCAUCUACAUACACUAUGGCCUCAUUACCUAAUGACACACUUCCCAGGUGUGGUUCCUCUGAUGGUUUCCCCCACUGUUAACGAGGCAAUGACUGUAUCUUUUGCUCUCAUCCCAAGAACUGGUGAGAUCUUCUCACGACUCAUGAGUCAUACUCUCAACUCCAUUUGGGGCCCUUGAGCUCAAGAUGAGACCCAGCCUAGACUUGGUGAUAUACACCUUUAAUCCUAACACUUGGGAGGCAGAGACAGCCAGAUCUUUGUGAGUUCAAGGUCAGCUUUGGUCUACAAAGUGAAUUCUAAGCCAGGUGCGGCUAUUUGAAUAGGUGAGACCCUAAUCAGAGGAACUUUGAAGUUUGGAGUGAACAUUUUACAUCUGCUGUCCACAGGGCAGAAAGGGGGGCGGGUGCUGAAGUCACGACCUCCAGUCUGGCUGAGAAGUGUCGGUUUGCCAAGGCUGUUCUUGGGCCCCAGAAGACAUGCAACUACUGGUAGAUCGUUCUGCCUGUAGAUUGCCCCUGACCCCUUGUAAAACUGCCAAACACCCAUACACAUCACUGAACCUCUCCAUGCAAAGGUGCAAACAGAAUACAAUCAAAAUGCCAUGAUAUGGGACCAGGCAAACCUUAGAGAAGUGCAUGGCCAGUCUUUACUGGAAAAUACAAGAAACUAUAACAGAGACCACUUUGUAAGGUGCCGGUACCCACUAAGCCCUAACGUUAGUUCCGUCCCUACUUUCGGCUCUGUCUAGCUAAGAAAGAGCCCCCGAUAUGCGCCAGCCCAGGGCCUCACCUAAAGUGUUCACAGUGACCACCUCACUGAAGGCGCUGGUCCCCAGCCUGUUCUGGGCCAGGACACUGAACUGGUAUGCAGUCUCAGGCUCCAGGCUGUCUACCAGCAGCCAGCUGGGGCCCAGUGGCACUGACAAGGACAGCCAGUCGUGGGGCCCAAACUGAGCCCGCUUCAUCCUGGCCAAAAGAGAGAGAAAGAGAGAGGAUGGGGGAGAAGGGGUGGGGUGGGUCACACUGGAAAGAACAGCACACAUGCAAGGUCUUCAAGGGAAAGGCAGUGAAAGUACAAGCAUUCCCGGGUUCAAGGGCAGGAAGAGGGAGAGCCAAGGUGGGGUUACCUGCCCGGCUCAGGCUAUGCCAACCUUCAUGGCACUAGGACACACCCCAUUGUGGUACCUCCCAAGUGAAAAGGGUCUCCCAGGUGUAAAUCAUGCUGAAAAUACUGGUCACAUUACCCAUUGCAUUGUGAGAGGAUCUCAUUCCAAGUACUACUGUAUAAAUGGACUCUGUCUUGCUAGAAUAGGGACACUGGAAAUGAGGGUGAGCAGCUGGGCAAUGACAUGGCUAGAGAAAGAACCCAGAUGAUCUUGGCUAUCUGCCCUACCAGGGACAGGUGAGAGUAAGGCCCAGAGUAUCACAGGAUGCUCCACUCAACCCAGUCCAGCUUGGGUCAUCUGAGGAUAUCCAAGGCAUUCAACAAAAAUGGCCAGGAGUUCUCCCCGUGGCAGGACCAGGGCUCCUAAUGCCUUGAAGGCUAGAAGUCGCAAGCAAAGGGGAAAGUUAUGGUGACGGAGAGUAAAGAAAGAAUCUAGGCGUGAGGUUUUCCACUCUUCUUCUACUUCCAAUAGGCAAGGAAGCCACCUGCUACAGGUGUAGUUCCAGAUGACGCCACGAGGAGGAGACAUUGUCCUGGGCAACUGGCCUGCUCUAUUCAUCCCUGAGCUGUACUCAACUGAUACUCAUAGGUUCCCCUCUAGGUUUUACGACUCACUGCCACUAGCAGGUACACUUCUCCCAUAGAAAAAUCAAUCCUUCAGGAAAUGCAUCCAGCCUGAGAACUGCUAGGGAAAUGGAAGCCCCCCUUGACCCCAUGCUACUGAAGUCUCUUUCUGAGGUCUAUGGUCUGCUUGUCCCUCCUCCCCAGACACAGGGUAAGUCAGGCUGAAGGAGAAGGAAAUAGAAUGUGCAUUUUCCUCACUUGAGGAUGCUGUCUGUGGAUCUGGAGACUGCAGUUCCCAGCUCGAGACAGGAAGGAACAUCAGAAAUGAAAAGCCUUGGGUGUUGGGAAGCCAGGGAGUGCCCUCGGCUUCUCUUCCUGCCAUUCUGUGCCUGGGGUCCUCAUCCCCUUCCUUACAUUUGUGAUCUCUACCUACCCUGGGGUUUGGGUAAAUAUCUUAAGUUACUGAUCUGGUCAAAAACAGACAUGAAACCCACAUGCACAAGAUCCUACAGAGAAAAUCCAAACAGGGAAGGCAAGGGCCAAAAUGGUCCCUGGGAUCUCUGGGCAAGGAGCAGAAUUAAAAGCUAGACCCUGCACUUUGGGUGCUAUUCACUAUACUCUGAAGAUCAGGAAUGUAGAAAAAAGAAUGGGGUGAGACACUAAAAGGAGGGGCCACUGAAAGAAGCCAAAGGAAGAGUGGAAUUAAGUACAAAUCAGCAUGCUAACCUCCAGGGCGGUAACACAAGGAUGCACUGACCCCCUUAUAGAAAUACCUAAUGUCCUUAAGACCUCAAUCACUGUGGACCGCUUUGCCAUUUGGAGAGCUGUCGAGUACCGAUCCUAGGCUCCUUGGACCCACCACCCACCCUAGGACAGUAUAGGAUGGGGCAGACAGGAUGCCCUGCGUGGGGCACGGGAGGGAGAAGCCGAAAGCAAAGCAUGCGGGGCUGACUCACAGAGGUCCGUACCAAACUGAGAAUGUCUGCUCAUAGCCUCCAUCAUAGCCUGGCUCCCAGGACACGUUGGCAGUUGUCAUGGAGACAUGGACCCGGACACUGCCUGGGGCAUGGGGACUGGUGCCUGGAGAACAAGGGAGACAGCUCAGUCCAAACAGAGUGGAGCCCUUUGCUAGGUCCUCACCAUCUCCUUGCAGGAGAUCCAGGAGGAGACAAAGCAAGGGGUACCAAGUUGCAUCACAAGAGGUGGCAGCAGAGAGGGCAGAGUCCCACGCCCAACCUGGUCCUGAUGGGCUCAGAGAGGAAAGCCCACCCACUGCAUAGGCUAGUGUCACCAGAGGAGCACAGGCCAGAGGAAAAACCAGAACCUUCCUCAUCCUGAUCAAACUUCCAUGCAUCCUUGAGCUAAAAAGCAUUCCCUUGAGGUCCUGGGAGAAACAAACAAACAAAAAAAAAAUCACAUCCUCCUUACUAAUCUCUAGGCACAGGAGAUGGCCAAGCUCCACACAGCAGACAGCAGUAGGCUCAGGUAUGAGGCCAGCCCCUACUGGGUACAAAGGAUGUGACUGGGCAGAAUGGCCAGGAGCUCCCCUGAUAGGGACAAUGUGCAGACCACUUCAUUCCUAGCCUACACUGGCAGUAAAAUACUCUAUGUUGACCUUGUAUACACCUGUGCCUGACAAGCCCCAAAGGGACAGACUACAAGAAGGCAGGCAGACAAGUCCAGAGUAAUAUGAACAAGGAGUACUAGUCACUUCCUCAUGCCCCAGGCUAUGGACACCGCCCUGAUCCUCAGUGCCUGUCUAAGGUGCCACAAAAUCUGAUUGUCAUUCAUUCUACUCCUUCCAGUUCUGACUUCCCCAAGAUAGGACAAACAAGGACCCCGUCCCUCCUCCCUGCCAGAGCCUCCUGAGGUCAAAGGUUUCAAGCCGUCAUCCCAAAUCUGGCUUAGGAAAGAUGCCUACAGAGUGAAAACAAUCACUCCAGUCGGCCUACUCAAGCACGUACCGAUGACAGUGAGGGGCCGGCCAUCCUUAUUCCACUUCACCACAGUAGCAGGCGGCUCUGCAUCCACAGGACAGCGGAUAUAGCCAUGGAUUCCCACGGGCACAUAAAUUACAGGGGGCAUGUUGAGGACACGGGCUGGGUCUGUGAAAGG